rnacentral:rRNA from 3 species
UUCGCAAUGCCCGAAAGGGUGACGAAGCGACGCCGCGUGGGUGAGGAAGGCCUUCGGGUUGUAAAGCCCUGUCAGGAGUUAAGAAAUGUAAGUGCGCUAAUAUCGCAUUUAUUUGACGAAGGCUCCAAAGGAAGUCACGGCUAACUCUGUGCCAGCAGCCGCGGUAAUACAGAGGUGGCAAGCGUUGUUCGGAAUUAUUGGGCGUAAAGAGCACGUAGGUGGGUUUGCAAGUCAGAUGUGAAAGCCUUCUGUUCAACGGAAGAAUUGCAUCUGAAACUGCGAGUCUUGAGUGUAGGAGGGGAGAAUGGAACUUCUGGUGGAGCGGUGAAAUGCGUAGAUAUCAGAAGGAACGCCGGCGGCGAAAGCGAUUCUCUGGCCUAUUACUGACACUCAGUGUGCGAAAGCUAGGGGAGCAAACGGGAUUAGAUACCCCGGUAGUCCUAGCCGUAAACGAUGGGCACUAAGUAGAGGGGUUUU